UACGUAGGGUGCAAGCGUUGUCCGGAAUUAUUGGGCGUAAAGAGCUCGUAGGCGGUUCGAUAAGUCGGACGUGAAAUCUCCACGCUCAACGUGGAGGGGCCGUUCGAUACUGUCGUGACUCGAGUCCGGUAGGGGAGUGUGGAAUUCCCGGUGUAGCGGUGAAAUGCGCAGAGAUCGGGAGGAACACCCGUAGCGAAGGCGGCACUCUGGGCCGGUACUGGACGCUGAGGAGCGAAAGCGUGGGGA
rnacentral:rRNA from 1 species